UCUAAUGGCAGUUUCAUUUUUUUUUUUCUGAUUUUUUAUAUUGUUGUCUAAUCAACAAUCUGUUGUAGCUUUGCAGGAAACCACUAACGCUGCAAAUGUUAUGUGAACGGGAUGGCCAAUAGAUAUUCAUGUGAAAGGUUAUUUCAAUGGAAUUUCUAAUAGAUUUUCACAUGGAAGAAAUCAAUAAUCUCUUUCUCUUUAAAAUCUUGGCAUAUGUACUAGAACCCAAUUUUUCUCUAAAUAAACGACCCACAAAAAUGUGAGAGAUCCACCUCUUAGUAUUUUUUUUUAAUUAUUGUCGUUAUUAUUUUCUUUUUCUCUCUCAUUCACAGAGAGAGAAAACAAUGGAAUCGUAGUGUUUUUUUCUUUCUAAAAGCAGGAAUCGCAGAGUUGAAGGAAAGAGAGAAACCGAUAUAAAAAGUUUUUCUAUAAAUAAGAUGGAUGGCGGCAAAGCAAGUUGAAUGUCCACCAAAGGAGGCAAGACCAUCUAAAAGUAUAUUUUUAUGUUUAUAUUUAUCAUUUAAAGUUAUUUCGGUGAUUCGUUUUCUGAUUCUUCUUAAAUUGAAUUUGAGUUAUUUUGAUAGAAUGCAGACGAUGUAGUGGUUUUUACUUUGGUUUGGUUUAGAAUCUACGCCAACAAAAAUAUUGCAACAAUUAAAUGUGGUUAACCCAAGAAAUAAUAAUUGCAGAUAUUUUUGGAUAUUGAAAUAAUAUUAUUUCCUAAACAGAGUCUGGGGUGCAUAUAAAGCAUUGAGCAAAAGCCAAAUUUCUCUUGCAGGUUUUACCACAGUUUAGAGCUUUGUUGGGUUUUUUUUCCUGUAUUUUUUGCGAUUUAGGUUUUCAUUGUCUCGUGUAUUUUUGUUGUUUCUUUUGCAAGCACAUUCAAAUAUGAUAUGAGGUCAUCUCUUUUUCGAGGAGGAAAAAAUAAAUAAAUCAAUUUGGCGCUAAAGGCUGCAGGGUUGCGGCUAUAGAAGGCAACCAGUACUGGAUCAAGAAUAAGAUUAUUUUUUUUGAAAAUAAUAUGCUCACUGCUCAGACAAGGUAAAACCAGAUAUAGCUUAUCUAUUACUUUUGUCUAUGUUUUAGUAUAUUAAUGAAUUUGUGGUAAUGAAAUCAUCCUGUUAUGGGCGAAUAUCUGGAUUGACUUGUGGAGGGAGGCAACGUGUGAAGUUUCCGUUUAAAGAGGAAGAAAAAUCCUUUGCUAGAAAUCCAUUCCUCCUGUGAGUUUUUUUUCUUUCUUUUCCAUAAGACUAAACCUAAAUAACAUUGUAACAAUUUUUCUGCAGAGCAAUAUGAGUAUUAUUUCACUUCGUACACCCGAUUUGAGGUUUGGGUCACAAUUCUGUGAGGAUGCACUUUAUUCAAGAAACAAAUUCAAUCACACGACUUAAAAAACAAAUCUCAGUCCUACAACGAUGACGGAUGGCCUAUGAUCCCUUUCCAAGCUGAAAAGGGAGUUUUUGGCAGCCGAUUCGUCUUAAGGAUUCAAGGUGGAUAAACAGGUGGAUUCUCUAAUGCUUCAAAAUUUCAAAUGAUAAAAGAUGUUGGGUCUGUUAAGAGUAUACGAGUUUCAAGUAGAACGAAAAUUUGUAAUCCUUAAAUGAAAUCUAUUUCUUGCUUUUACAUUUGA